UACGUAGGGGGCAAGCGUUGUCCGGAUUUACUGGGCGUAAAGCGUGCGCAGGCGGUUGUGCAAGACAGAUGUGAAAUCCCCGGGCUCAACCUAGGAACUGCAUUUGUGACUGCACGGCUGGAGUGCGGCAGAGGGGGAUGGAAUUCCGCGUGUAGCAGUGAAAUGCGUAGAUAUGCGGAGGAACACCGAUGGCGAAGGCAAUCCCCUGGGCCUGCACUGACGCUCAUGCACGAAAGCGUGGGGAGCAAACAGG
rnacentral:rRNA from 1 species